GACGAACGCUGGCGGCGUGCCUAAUACAUGCAAGUAGAACGCUGAAGGAGGAGCUUGCUUCUCUGGAUGAGUUGCGAACGGGUGAGUAACGCGUAGGUAACCUGCCUGGUAGCGGGGGAUAACUAUUGGAAACGAUAGCUAAUACCGCAUAAUAGCAGUUAUUGCAUGAUAACUGUUUGAAAGGUGCAAUUGCACCACUACCAGAUGGACCUGCGUUGUAUUAGCUAGUUGGUGGGGUAACGGCUCACCAAGGCAACGAUACAUAGCCGACCUGAGAGGGUGAUCGGCCACACUGGGACUGAGACACGGCCCAGACUCCUACGGGAGGCAGCAGUAGGGAAUCUUCGGCAAUGGACGGAAGUCUGACCGAGCAACGCCGCGUGAGUGAAGAAGGUUUUCGGAUCGUAAAGCUCUGUUGUAAGAGAAGAAACGAAGUGUGAAAAGUGGAAAAGCUC
rnacentral:rRNA from 1 species